UGAGGUUGAUAAUUCUCCUUUAGGAGCUGC
rnacentral:piRNA from 1 species